rnacentral:rRNA from 1 species
AUUGAACGCUGGCGGCAUGCCUUACGCAUGCAAGUCGAACGGUAACAGGUUAAGCUGACGAGUGGCGAACGGGUGAGUAAUGUAUCGGAACGUGCCCAGUCGUGGGGGAUAACUGCUCGAAAGAGCAGCUAAUACCGCAUACGACCUGAGGGUGAAAGCGGGGGAUCGCAAGACCUCGCGCGAUUGGAGCGGCCGAUAUCAGAUUAGGUAGUUGGUGAGGUAAAGGCUCACCAAGCCGACGAUCUGUAGCUGGUCUGAGAGGACGACCAGCCACACUGGGACUGAGACACGGCCCAGACUCCUACGGGAGGCAGCAGUGGGGAAUUUUGGACAAUGGGCGCAAGCCUGAUCCAGCCAUGCCGCGUGCGGGAAGAAGGCCUUCGGGUUGUAAACCGCUUUUGUCAGGGAAGAAAAGGUUCUGGCUAAUACCUGGGACUCAUGACGGUACCUGAAGAAUAAGCACCGGCUAACUACGUG